rnacentral:rRNA from 1 species
UGCAGUCGAGCGCGGGAAGCAAGCAGAUCUCCUUCGGGAGUGACGCUUGUGGAACGAGCGGCGGACGGGUGAGUAACACGUGGGCAACCUACCUGUAAGACUGGGAUAACUCCGGGAAACCGGGGCUAAUACCGGAUGAAACAAAGCGUCGCAUGACGCAAUGUUAAAAGGCGGCAUAUGCUGUCACUUACAGAUGGGCCCGCGGCGCAUUAGCUAGUUGGUGAGGUAAAGGCUCACCAAGGCAACGAUGCGUAGCCGACCUGAGAGGGUGAUCGGCCACACUGGGACUGAGACACGGCCCAGACUCCUACGGGAGGCAGCAGUAGGGAAUCUUCCGCAAUGGACGAAAGUCUGACGGAGCAACGCCGCGUGAGUGAUGAAGGUUUUCGGAUCGUAAAACUCUGUUGUUAGGGAAGAACAAGUGCCAUUCGAAUAGGUUGGCACCUUGACGGUACCUAACCAGAAAGCCCCGGCUAACUACGUGCCAGCAGCCGCGGUAAUACGUAAGGGGCAAGCGUUGUCCGGAAUUAUUGGGCGUAAAGCGCGCGCAGGCGGUCCUUUAAGUCUGAUGUGAAAGCCCACGGCUUAACCGUGGAGGGCCAUUGGAAACUGGAGGACUUGAGUACAGAAGAGGAGAGUGGAAUUCCACGUGUAGCGGUGAAAUGCGUAGAGAUGUGGAGGAA